UAAAACUCAAAUCAAAACACCGAUUUCACCAAAAUGAUCCUCUCUUCUUCCUCUACAUAACCAUGUGAAUUAUCAAGGCUGGAAAUAAGGAGGAAAAAGUGCUUAAGGACCACCUGAAAGUUUGAUUGAAUUAGGAGCAGCAAAACCAGAUGGAAGCAUGAG